rnacentral:lncRNA from 1 species
CUAAAUUUAGGGUUGGAACUGGGCUCGAGCCAACCCAACUUUCAAUCGAGCUUUGGACUGGCCUAAACUGUUUCGAGCCGGACUUGGAUCUAAUUGUAGGGCCCAUUUACCUUUUAGGCCAGACUCGAACAUACCUUUGGUCUGACCCAGAACUAACCUGAGCCCAACCCAUUCACAACCCGAACUUAAGCUCGAUUAAGAAGUUCUAAAA